rnacentral:rRNA from 1 species
AUGAAGUUUCAAUAGCCGCAAUUUUCUGUGCUAAGGUAGCAUAAUCACUUGCCUAAUAAUUAUAGGAUAGAAUGAAAGGAAGCACAUGUGUACUUCUUUAUUAAAAAAAUUUUUUUAAUUUCUUUAACAAAUAAAAACCAUUUGUUCUUCAAGGAGGACGACAAGACCCUAUCAAACUUUACAUUCAUGUUUGGCUGGGGCGGCAGAAAAUUAUAUCUUUAUUUUAUAUUUCCUCUAAAAUCCUGAAUAUUAGAAUUUACUAAUGUUACUGUAGGGAUAACAGCAUAAUUUCUUCUAAAAGAUCUUAUAAAAGAAGAAGUUUUUGACCUCGAUGUUGAAUUAAAACUCUCCUGGAAGCAGCAAUCUAGAAAGUAAGUCUGUUCGACUUUUAAAAUUUU